GUUUUAAUAUAACAUUUAGGAUUUUUCAUAGAUGUUUUUUGCGAAAUCUGCUGAGUUAAUGACUCUUAAGUCAAUGAUAGUGCUACUGUAAUUUCCCUUAUAUGGUCAAUCAUGUGGACAGAAUACAGAUCUCCUUAUAAGGGUUCAUCCAUUGUAUUUCAUCACAACUGAGUUGACCCGAUACAUCAUCAGCCUUUGUUAGACUUGGUCACAAGUUUCCAGGGGAGGGGCGUGGAAAGUCAAGUGGUGCCACUACAGUUCACAACCUCUGAAAGGCCCAUCAAGGUGGGUGGUGCUCCAGUUGCUAAGAGCUCAAAGGGGAAGCACAGUAACAGACAUGGCAAAAUUCAGACCAAUCAGGAGCAUGACCCGUUGCCACCGCAGAAAGCCACAAAAGAGACGUCAUGGAGGUGGAUCUGGAGGAAAAAGGAGACAGUCUGGGAAAACAAAGAGAGGUCACAGAUCCCAUGGUCUCAAGAGGCAGAGGCAGAGGAGACACGACUAAAUUUUCCUCUUCAUGGUCUUCUCUGUUCUUGAUCUGAAAAGCUGACCUUUCUAAAACUUCCACCAAACAUGAAAUUGAAGCAAAUUUCCCAUCAAGAGACCCAGGAUGUCUUCCUGGGAACCAAGGAACAGAAAAACAUUUGACCAAGGCCACCUGUCAAUAAAUGCUAGCAUUUAA